GCUCCACGGUGGGGAUGCCCUCCAUGAUGCGGUAGUCGGCCAGGAACGGAGCCACCAUGUCGUCUGUGACGGGGAACUUGUCUGGGAUCCGCGUGCAGCGGCGGAUCAGGCCGGGGUUGACGCCGUUGAGGUACUGGUACCCAAAGAAGGUGUCCUCUGCCCAGUGCUCGGCCACGUACUCUGCGAGGACGGCGCGAGGGCGUCACAAGGAGGCCCGGCCCCCCUCGGGGACGGAGAGGCAUGGGACAGAAGAAGACUAUGGGCACCGAGAGGAGUCGGGGAGGAAAACGAGGCCCCCAGCCUGGCGCUGAGCGGCCGGAGGAGCCCGGUGCGACAUUUUCCAAGAAGCCGCCAGAGGGCGCGCGCGCGCCUCGCUGCCUCUCCCGUCCCACUGCCCCGAAGUCGGGGGCCUGCCUAGCACGCCGGAGACCGCCUGGCUCCCCCUGCUCGAUCCGGGACGCCCCAUUCCAUACCGGAGACGACAGAUUUCUUGCCAGGGAAAAUUUUCCUAAUGUCCUUCAGCCUCUUCCACGAAUGUUUGCAGUCCAACAGGCCGCGGACUUUGAAAGCCAGUGCCCUAGGAGAUGGGAUUCCAGGAAGAGGCCUUCAGAGGGGCUGCCAAGCGCCGGCUGGGGCAGGUGGCGGGGCCGCCCCAUCCACUUAGGUCUCUGGGUCUCAGGGUCUGUGCGUCGCAAAGUCUCUGGGUCCCAUGUCUCAAGAUCUUUGCAUCUCUAGGUCUCUGGGAUCAUGUCUCAGGUUUUCUGGGUCUGCGUUUCAGCUCCCUCUGCCUUCCUGGCCAUUCCAACCUCUGGGGCUGUCUUGGAGGCCGCCAAGGUUGGGGGAGAGGGAAAGUUCUUGCAGGAGCCCUCGUUCUCCCGUCACUCACACGGACUCACAUGGGCCCCAGGCGGACGAAGAAGGAGGCCGUCUUGAGGAAGGAGUAGCGGAGAUUUAAGUUCAGGAACUUGGUGGCCUUAAAGUUGAUGAGAAUUGGGAAUCCCGGAAUAUAGCCAUUCCACCUGUGGGGAGAAGCGCAGGGCAACUGGGAUCCAGGGGGCGGGGAGGAGGCAGGCGCCCAGGGGAAAACCAUGGGCGGGGCCCAGCACAGCUUCGGGUCCUUACUCAGGCCGGUUGGGGUUGCGAUGCCUCCGCACCGGAGGGCGGUAACUGGGAAUGUGCACAUAGCUGGGCAGGCCAGGAAGAAAGACUCGCCAGCUGCAAGGGAAACCGAGAUGUCACCCUCAUGCCCGUGCACCACCCCAGGGCAAAGGGCCAGAGCCAUCACUGCCCCCCACCUCCCUGGACCCCUGCCGGGCGCCCAGACUCUGCCACCCGCCCCCUCACUGGUAGAAGUCCUGCUUGGCUCUGAUCUCCUCUUUUCUGUGCUCCAGGAGGACGGGGAGCGAGUCAUCUGCUGUUGUCUUUCCUGUAGGGAGACCAAGGAGAGGACUCAAGGGCUGACCCUUGCCCCUGCCCACUUCAGGAAGCAGGAGUUCAGCUUCUGUGCCCCAGGUCGUCUCUGGGGGGGCCCAUGACCAAGGAGUGGGAAGGCUCACCUUGGGAGAGUGAAGGUGCGUCCUGUCCGGAAAUAUCAGAUAAAAGAAUCACGGACCCACCCUCUUUCCUCUUGCUCUACUGUCAAGCUAAGCUCUGCUGCUGCAAAAAGUCCCUCCUCUAGACCCACUGAAAUAUUUUUUAUUUCUAUAAAUUCAUGGAGUACAAGAGCAAUGUUGUUACAUGCAUAGUGGCCAAGUUAGGGCUUUAGGUUACCCAUCACCCAAAUAAAGUAUAUUGUACCCAUUAA
ensembl:lncRNA novel transcript, antisense to ALOX12B